ACCACCAGCUCAUGGGCCCACCUCUUUUAAUGGGCCUCACGUCCUCUCACUAGGCCCAUGAGCCCAUCAAUAUCCAACAGUCGGUUUGCUACGUCUGGGAGGGUUAUAUACUUGUUUACCGACCCUACAAAUCACCAUGUGAUUUUGCCUCACUCACACAGUUCCGACAAUCAUUUCCUGGAAGGUCACCCAUCCUUUGACUACUCCAGCAUAAGCACGCUUAACUGUGGAGCUCUCUCAGGACCUUUGACCGAAAAAGAUAAGUGCACUUUGGAG
rnacentral:lncRNA from 1 species